rnacentral:rRNA from 1 species
AUACGUAGGGGGCGAGCGUUGUCCGGAAUGAUUGGGCGUAAAGGGCGCGUAGGCGGCGCGGUAAGUCUGGAGUGAAAGUCCUGCUUUCAAGGUGGGAAUUGCUUUGGAUACUGCCGCGCUUGAGUGCAGGAGAGGUUAUCGGAAUUCCCGGUGUAGCGGUGAAAUGCGUAGAGAUCGGGAGGAACACCAGUGGCGAAGGCGAGUAACUGGACUGCAACUGACUCUGAGGCGCGAAAGUGUGGGGAGCAAACAGGAUUAGAUACCCUGGUAGUCCACACUGUAAACGAUGAAUGCUAGGUGUAGGGGGUAUCGACCCCUUCUGUGCCGCAGUCAACACAAUAAGCAUUCCGCCUGGGGAGUACGGCCGCAAGGUUGAAACUCAAAUGAAUUGACGGGG